rnacentral:rRNA from 1 species
AACGAACGCUGGCGGCAUGCCUAACACAUGCAAGUCGAACGAGACCUUCGGGUCUAGUGGCGCACGGGUGCGUAACGCGUGGGAACCUGCCCUUAGGUUCGGAAUAACUCCCCGAAAGGGGUGCUAAUACCGGAUAAAGUCUUCGGACCAAAGAUUUAUCGCCUUUGGAUGGGCCCGCGUUGGAUUAGCUAGUUGGUAGGGUAAAAGCCUACCAAGGCGACGAUCCAUAGCUGGUCUGAGAGGAUGAUCAGCCACACUGGGACUGAGACACGGCCCAGACUCCAACGGGAGGCAGUAGUGGGGAAUAUGGGACAAUGGGCGAAAGCCUAAUCCAGCAAUGCCGCGGGAGGGAUAAAGGCCUUAGGGUUGUAAAGCUCUUUUACCCGGGAUGAAAAUGAAAGUACCGGGAGAAUAAGCUCCGGCUAACUCCGUG